rnacentral:lncRNA from 1 species
GUGAGCUCAUGUGUCUCUGUUGGGUGUGGUGGUGGAAGCAGCAUGGAGAGCAUGUUCCAUCUUAUAACUUUGUCAUGGAUGGCAGCCAGAGGCUCCCAGCCCCUUUGAUGUCCAGAACCCAGCAAUGUCAUUCUUCUUCUUCAAAACUCAAGCCAAGACCUCAAAGUCAUCCCCAGAGCCUGCUUUACUUUCACAACACAAAUCUAGUAUAAGGACAAUUUUGAAAGCCUCCGAGGAGCCAGUUCCAGGGAUUGGAGCCAGCAGGAUCCUCUAAAAGUAUGAACCACGCAACACCAGCUCAUUACAGCCACUCCUCCUUGAUCUAACAAAGCUCCUCCGUGGACUUCCCUCAGGUCUUUCUUGAAACAGCAUCUCCUGGGAGAGGACUUGUCCGACCUCUAAGCCUUCCCCACAGUGUAUCUUUCACUUACAUUUCUUUCUCGUCUCUAGAAUGACAGUCCCCGAAAGGGGGCACAGUUGUUGUCUUCUCUAUAUACUGCUGUGUUCCCAGCACCUAGAAUGAUUCUUGACACACGAGUUGCUUUGGUGGACAUCAGGACAGCCUGGGAAGACAGCGAUGAAUCGGAAUGCUCAGGGCACCCAGCAGCAUCUGAGAGAGGGGAGGUGUUACUAAGAGGGACCCCUGUGAAUCCCUACUGCAUUUGACCCCUGCUCUUUCAACAAAAUUUUUUACUUCUGCUUUAACAGAGGCAAGGAAAAUAGUAAAAUAUAUUAAAGUUGGCUUGUAUUAAAAAAACCCUCCUUUGUAAUUAGGGCAGUAAAUUAUAGACACAGGAUUCCAUAUAGGCCAUAAAUUGAAUAUUUUAGAGAGAGUAGAGUUGGG